GAUGAACGCUGGCGGCGUGCUUAACACAUGCAAGUCGAGCGAGUGAGUUCUUCGGAACGAUCUAGCGGCGGACGGGUGAGUAACACGUGGGCAACCUGCCUCAUAGAGGGGAAUAGCCUCCCGAAAGGGAGAUUAAUACCGCAUAAAAUUAUCGAGUGGCAUCACAUGAUAAUCAAAGGAGUAAUCCGCUAUGAGAUGGGCCCGCGGCGCAUUAGCUAGUUGGUGAGGUAACGGCUCACCAAGGCGACGAUGCGUAGCCGACCUGAGAGGGUGAUCGGCCACAUUGGGACUGAGACACGACCCGGACUCCUACGGGAGGCAGCAGUGGGGAAUAUUGCACAAUGGGGGAAACCCUGAUGCAGCAACGCCGCGUGAGUGAUGAAGGUCUUCGGAUUGUAAAGCUCUGUCUUUGGGGACGAUAAUGACGGUACCCAAGGAGGAAGCCACGGCUAACUACGUGCCAGCCGCCGCCGUAA
rnacentral:rRNA from 1 species